CAGAGUGAGACUCUGUCUCACUCUGUUGCACAGUUUACAACAACAAAACUAUAGCAUCCAUCACAUAGAGGAGAGACUCCCCAACACACAUAUAAGGAUUACUCUCAGCCCCAGCUCCCUCAAACUUCCUAAGAUCAGCACUGGUAUCUGAUGGUGGCUCCUUGUAAAUCAAACUUAAUGGAGUAUGUGUUAUUUGGUUUAUGUUUAUGUGCAGCCUGCAUAACAACCACUCUGUCAACAUCAUGCAUAUGUUCAUUGUGUUGGUACUAGAAGACUCUAUGACACACACAAGCUGAUGUCAUCUGAUGGGUCUAUUUUAUCUACUUGGCUGUGCAAAUCCUCUUCUGUAGUAUAUGCUUUCUGGUGGACACUAAUAUGGAACACAAAGAUCUUCUCACAUUGCAGCUGCUCCCAUAUAUCCAUUGAUAUAUGCCUCUAACUCCAGACCUUUUUGUCCUUAAUCUUCUAAUCCGGUUAUCUCUUUUCCUUUAGUGCAAUUUUUCCUUAUUUGUUUGUUUUGUUUUUUUUUUUAAGUAAAUAGCUAGGCUUCUAAGCCCUACCACAGAGAGUCAACAGACAAACUGCCCAGGGAAAAGUUAUGACCUCAGGCAAAGUGAAUUUCUACAGCUAAGGCAGAUCCUGAAGAAGCUCACAAAUAAAGGCUGCAUACUCACACAUUCCCUGAAGCUUGACAGUGCCAGCCACCAUACUGUGAGGGAGCUGAAGUAAGCCCACAUGAGGAAGAAUUGAGGUCCCAAGCCAACAGCUGCAGCUAAGAUCCAAGCUCUCAACCAGUACCAGUUCAUCCGUUAUGCACACUAAGAUAUGGAAGCUAAAAGAGGACUAAGAGGAUUCUGGGGAUAUUACAAGAUAUUGCAGACUAUCUUGUUUUCCUGGAAAAGGAUUUUACCUCAGUCGACUGAAUUACUUUUUUCACUGUGUCUUGCCACUCUUCGUGCAUGCAUCAAAGACCCUAAUAUGACUUCUGGUGGCCUGGGACUCCUUGGGAAAACAGAAAAGGGGCCACAAAUCCCAUUUUGGGAACAAUCUGUUUUACUCAUGGAACCCCUGGAAUUAGAGAGCUGCUCCAAGUACAGAAAACCCUUUGAAGUCACUUGGAACUUUGUGCUCCGAUGAGGCCUGAAGGACAUGCAAAGUAAGAAACAUGGCCAUGCUUGCAAAUAAGCAAAAACUGAUCUAUGGCAGUUUUGCAGAAGAGAAUGGAAAGAAGUUUGGAGCUGCUCAAGGGCUACAAAUGCCAUGCUAGGAAGUUCACUUCAUCCUUUGGGAAGAUAAUGGAGAUGCAACAGAAC
rnacentral:lncRNA from 1 species